AGCAACUGUAAACAAUUCUGAGAGGGCAUCUUAUUGGGAAGAACUGCUACGAGAUAAAUAUGAAGUGCAUCAAGUUGAAGAAUUCAAGACCAUGGGGAAGGGAAAGAGGAGUCGUAAGCAGAUGGUGUCUGUUGACGAUGAUGAUCUUGCUGGUCUGGAGGAUGUGAGCACCGACGGAGAGGAUGACAGCUAUGACGCUGAAGCUGAUUCCAGUGAUGGUGAGACAGCUUCACUGGGAGCGCCAGUUUUGAGGAAGGCUCACAGAAAGAAAGCCCGCGUUGAUUCUGCUGAACCACUCCCUUUGAUGGAAGGAGAAGGAAGAUCAUUUAGGGUACUGGGGUUCAAUCAAAGCCAAAGAGCAGCAUUUGUCCAAAUUUUGAUGAGAUUUGGGGCUGGUGAGUUUGACUGGGCAGACUUCACUCCACGAUUGAAGCAGAAAACUUAUGAAGAAA
rnacentral:misc_RNA from 1 species